UACGUAGGGUGCAAGCGUUGUCCGGAAUUAUUGGGCGUAAAGAGCGUGUAGGCGGUCCGGUAAGUCAGCUGUGAAAGUCAAGGGCUCAACCCUUGAAUGCCGGUUGAUACUGUCGGGCUAGAGUCCGGAAGAGGCGAGUGGAAUUCCCGGUGUAGCGGUGAAAUGCGCAGAUAUCGGGAGGAACACCAAUGGCGAAGGCAGCUCGCUGGGACGGUACUGACGCUAAGACGCGAAAGCGUGGGGAGCAAACAGG
rnacentral:rRNA from 1 species